GAAGGUGGCAAGCGUUGUUCGGAAUCAUUGGGCUUAAAGCGCGCGUAGGCGGACUGGAAAGUGUCUUGUGAAAACCCUCGGCUUAACCGAGGAAUUGCUUGGCAAACUUCUAGUCUUGAGGCAAGUAGGGGUACAUGGAACUCUUGGUGGAGCGGUGGAAUGCGUAGAUAUCAAGAGGAACGCCAAUGGUGAAGACAGUGUACUGGGCUUGUACUGACGCUGAGGUGCGAAAGCGUGGGGGGAGCGAACGGGAUUAGAUACCCCGGUAGUCCACGCCGUAAACGAUGUCUACUAGAUCGUGGGAGUUCUGACACUUUCACGGUCGAAGCAAAAGUGAUAAGUAGACCGCCUGGGGAUACGGUCGCAAGGCUA
rnacentral:rRNA from 1 species